GAUGAACGCUGGCGGCGUGCCUAAUACAUGCCAGUCGAGCGAACGGACGAGAAGCUUUCUUCUCUGAUGUUAGCGGCGGACGGGUGGGUAACACGUGGAUAACCUUCUUCUAAGUCUGGGAUAAUUUCGGGAAACCGGUGCUACUACCGGAUCAUAUUUUGUACCGCUUGGUUCAAAAGUGCAAGACGGCUUUGCUGUUUCAUUUAGCUGGAUCCGCGCUGCAUUAGCUAGUUGGUAAGGUAACGGCUAACCAAGGCAACGAUGCAUAGCCGACCUGAGAGGGUGAUCGGCCACACUGGAACUGAGACACGGUCCAGACUCCUACGGGAGGCAGCAGUGGGGAAUCUUCCACAAUGGGCGAAAGCCUGACGGAGCAACGCCGCGUGAGUGAUGAAGGUCUUCGGAUCGUAAAACUCUGUUAUUAGGGAAGAACAGAUGUGUAAGUAACUGUGCACAUCUUGACGGUACCUAAUCAGAAAGCCACGGCUAACUACGUG
rnacentral:rRNA from 1 species